GGAGAUAGCUCAGUGGUAGAGCACAUGCCUAGAAUGCAUGAGGUCCUGGGUUCAAUCUGCAGUAACUCCG
rnacentral:tRNA from 1 species